AGAGUUUGAUCCUGGCUCAGGACGAACGCUGGCGGCGCGCCUAACACAUGCAAGUCGAACGGAGCUUAGAGAGCUUGCUUUUUAAGCUUAGUGGCGAACGGGUGAGUAACGCGUGAGUAACCUGCCCUAGAGUGGGGGACAACAGUUGGAAACGACUGCUAAUACCGCAUAAGCCCACGGUACCGCAUGGUACUGAGGGAAAAGGAUUUAUUCGCUUUAGGAUGGACUCGCGUCCAAUUAGCUAGUUGGUGAGGUAACGGCCCACCAAGGCGACGAUUGGUAGCCGGACUGAGAGGUUGAACGGCCACAUUGGGACUGAGACACGGCCCAGACUCCUACGGGAGGCAGCAGUGGGGGAUAUUGCACAAUGGGGGAAACCCUGAUGCAGCGACGCCGCGUGGAGGAAGAAGGUUUUCGGAUUGUAAACUCCUGUCGUUAGGGACGAUAAUGACGGUACCUAACAAGAAAGCACCGGCUAACUACGUGCCAGCAGCCGCGGUAAAACGUAGGGUGCAAGCGUUGUCCGGAAUUACUGGGUGUAAAGGGAGCGCAGGCGGGAAGACAAGUUGGAAGUGAAAACCAUGGGCUCAACCCAUGAAUUGCUUUCAAAACUGUUUUUCUUGAGUAGUGCAGAGGUAGAUGGAAUUCCCGGUGUAGCGGUGGAAUGCGUAGAUAUCGGGAGGAACACCAGUGGCGAAGGCGGUCUACUGGGCACCAACUGACGCUGAGGCUCGAAAGCAUGGGUAGCAAACAGGAUUAGAUACCCUGGUAGUCCAUGCCGUAAACGAUGAUUACUAGGUGUUGGGGGAUUGACCCCCUCAGUGCCGCAGUUAACACAAUAAGUAAUCCACCUGGGGAGUACGACCGCAAGGUUGAAACUCAAAGGAAUUGACGGGGGCCCGCACAAGCAGUGGAGUAUGUGGUUUAAUUCGAAGCAACGCGAAGAACCUUACCAGGUCUUGACAUCCGAUGCAUAGCACAGAGAUGUGUGAAAUCCUUCGGGACAUCGAGACAGGUGGUGCAUGGUUGUCGUCAGCUCGUGUCGUGAGAUGUUGGGUUAAGUC
rnacentral:rRNA from 1 species